CAAGUUUUUAAGGGCGCACGGUGGAUGCCUUGGCACCAGGAACCGAUGAAGGACGUGGGAGGCCACGAUAGGCCCCGGGGAGUCGUCAACCAGGCUUUGAUCCGGGGGUGUCCGAAUGGGGAAACCCGGCAGUCGUCAUGGGCUGUCACCCUUGCCUGAACACAUAGGGCAAGUGGAGGGAACGCGGGGAAGUGAAACAUCUCAGUACCCGCAGGAAGAGAAAACAACCGUGAUUCCGGGAGUAGUGGCGAGCGAAACCGGAUGAGGCCAAACCGUAUGCGUGUGAGACCCGGCAGGGGUUGCGCAUGCGGGGUUGUGGGAUCUCUCUUCCACGGUCUGCCGGCCGUGGGACGAGUCAGAAACCGUUGAUGUAGGCGAAGGACAUGCGAAAGGUCCGGCGUAGAGGGUAAGACCCCCGUAGUCGAAACGUCAGCGGCUCGUUUGAGAGACACCCAAGUAGCACGGGGCCCGAGAAAUCCCGUGUGAAUCUGGCGGGACCACCCGCUAAGCCUAAAUAUUCCCUGGUGACCGAUAGCGGAUAGUACCGUGAGGGAAUGGUGAAAAGUACCCCGGGAGGGGAGUGAAAUAGUACCUGAAACCGUGUGCCUACAAGCCGUGGGAGCGUCGCGCAAGGACUUGUCCUUGCGUCGUGACUGCGUGCCUUUUGAAGAAUGAGCCUGCGAGUUUGCGGUGUGUUGCGAGGUUAACCCGGGUGGGGAAGCCGUAGCGAAAGCGAGUCCGAAGAGGGCGUUUCAGUAGCACGCUCAAGACCCGAAGCGGAGUGAUCUAGCCAUGGGCAGGUUGAAGCGGAGGUAAGACUUCGUGGAGGACCGAACCCACCAGGGUUGAAAACCUGGGGGAUGACCUGUGGUUAGGGGUGAAAGGCCAAUCAAACUCCGUGAUAGCUGGUUCUCCCCGAAAUGCAUUUAGGUGCAGCGUCGUGUGUUUCUUGCCGGAGGUAGAGCACUGGAUAGGCGAUGGGCCCUACCGGGUUACUGACCUUAGCCAAACUCCGAAUGCCGGUAAGUGAGAGCGCGGCAGUGAGACUGUGGGGGAUAAGCUCCAUGGUCGAGAGGGAAACAGCCCAGAGCAUCGACUAAGGCCCCUAAGCGUACGCUAAGUGGGAAAGGAUGUGGAGUCGCACAGACAACCAGGAGGUUGGCUUAGAAGCAGCCACCCUUGAAAGAGUGCGUAAUAGCUCACUGGUCUAGUGAUUCCGCGCCGACAAUGUAGCGGGGCUCAAGCGUACCGCCGAAGUCGUGUCAUUGCGAUAUGUACCCCCAACGGGGAUCGUGAUGGGUAGGGGAGCGUCGUCUGCCGGGUGAAGCAGCCGCGUAAGCGAGUUGUGGACGGUUGACGAGUGAGAAUGCAGGCAUGAGUAGCGAUUCACACGUGAGAAACGUGUGCGCCGAUUGACUAAGGGUUCCUGGGUCAAGCUGAUCUGCCCAGGGUAAGUCGGGACCUAAGGCGAGGCCGACAGGCGUAGUCGAUGGAUAACCGGUUGAUAUUCCGGUACCCGCUGUGAAGCGUCAAACAUCGAAUCCAGUGAUGCUAAGCCCGUGAAGCCGCCGGCUGAGUCUUCGGACGAGGUCGGAGUGGUGGAGCCGGUGACCCGAGCUGGUAGUAGGUGAGUGAUGGGGUGACGCAGGAAGGUAGUCCAUCCCGGGCGGUGGUUGUCCCGGGGUAAGGGUGUAGGACGUCAGGUAGGUAAAUCCGCCUGGCACAUAGUCUGAGACCUGAUGCCGAGCCGAUUGUGGUGAAGUGGAUGAUCCUAUGCUGUCGAGAAAAGCCUCUAGCGAGUUUCAUGGCGGCCCGUACCCUAAACCGACUCAGGUGGUCAGGUAGAGAAUACCGAGGCGUUCGGGUGAACUAUGGUUAAGGAACUCGGCAAAAUGCCCCCGUAACUUCGGGAGAAGGGGGGCCACACUCGGUGAUCCGAUUUACUCGGUGAGCUGGGGGUGGCCGCAGAGACCAGCGAGAAGCGACUGUUUACUAAAAACACAGGUCCGUGCGAAGCCGUAAGGCGAUGUAUACGGACUGACGCCUGCCCGGUGCUGGAACGUUAAGGGGACCGGUUAGUCACUCUUCGGGGUGGCGAAGCUGAGAACUUAAGCGCCAGUAAACGGCGGUGGUAACUAUAACCAUCCUAAGGUAGCGAAAUUCCUUGUCGGGUAAGUUCCGACCUGCACGAAUGGCGUAACGACUUCUCGACUGUCUCAACCAUAGGCCCGGUGAAAUUGCACUACGAGUAAAGAUGCUCGUUUCGCGCAGCAGGACGGAAAGACCCCGGGACCUUUACUACAGUUUGAUAUUGGUGUUCGGUUCGGCUUGUGUAGGAUAGCUGGGAGACUUUGAAACUCGGACGCCAGUUCGGGUGGAGUCGUCGUUGAAAUACCAGUCUGGUCGUGCUGGAUGUCUAACCUGGGUCCGUGAUCCGGAUCAGGGACAGUGUCUGAUGGGUAGUUUAACUGGGGCGGUUGCCUCCUAAAGAGUAACGGAGGCGCCCAAAGGUUCCCUCAGCCUGGUUGGCAAUCAGGUGUUGAGUGUAAGUGCACAAGGGAGCUUGACUGUGAGACCGACGGGUCGAGCAGGGACGAAAGUCGGGACUAGUGAUCCGGCGGUGGCUUGUGGAAGCGCCGUCGCUCAACGGAUAAAAGGUACCCCGGGGAUAACAGGCUGAUCUUCCCCAAGAGUCCAUAUCGACGGGAUGGUUUGGCACCUCGAUGUCGGCUCGUCGCAUCCUGGGGCUGGAGUCGGUCCCAAGGGUUGGGCUGUUCGCCCAUUAAAGCGGUACGCGAGCUGGGUUUAGAACGUCGUGAGACAGUUCGGUCCCUAUCCGCUGUGCGCGUAGGAGUCUUGAGAAGGGCUGUCCCUAGUACGAGAGGACCGGGACGGACGAACCUCUGGUGUGCCAGUUGUUCUGCCAAGGGCAUGGCUGGUUGGCUACGUUCGGGAGGGAUAACCGCUGAAAGCAUCUAAGCGGGAAGCCUGCUUCGAGAUGAGGACUCCCACCUCCUAGAGAGGGUAAGGCUCCCAGUAGACGACUGGGUUGAUAGGCCGGAUAUGGAAGCACGGUAACGUGUGGAGUUGACCGGUACUAAUAGGCCGAGGGCUUGUCC
rnacentral:rRNA from 1 species